UGAGGAAUAUUGGUCAAUGGGCGGAAGCCUGAACCAGCCAAGUCGCGUGAGGGAAGAAGGCUCUGCGGGUCGCAGACCUCUUUGGACGGGGAGCAAGGCCGCCGACGUGUCGGCGGAAGGAGAGUACCCGUAGAACAAGCAUCGGCUAACUCCGUGCC
rnacentral:rRNA from 1 species